UGGGGUCCUCAACUUUAACGUGAAGAAACUGGGGGUGAUCAACAAUAAUAGUAACAUUAGUCCCCGAGUUCCAGAAAAACCAAAUCUUAUUCGAUUCAUUCUGAGCUCCCGUAUCGAAGCGCAGAUAGCGUCGAAUAUAUGCAAAGCUGUGCUGAAGAACAAAGGGCUCCAGUAUAACCAAAAGAUAAACCUGAUGAAGCUGUAUAAGUUUCUUCAGGCGCCGACGAGUAGCUACACUAGCUACACCUCUCACAUUCCAAAUGAUGGCACUCAUAGGGAUGGAGAAUGUGAAGAGGUAUCAUGUGACUGACUCCUGGUGAUCCUUCUGCUCGGAUGUGGAGUAUCAGUAGCCCGUGGGUGUUUCUUUCUUGUGACUCGGACAAAACCGUCAUCCUCUGAUCUACCAGCCAUACCCACUAAAUCCUCAGCAGAAGACCUACGGAACACACCCUGCUGAUGGACCUCAAUCUGUGAUGUAGCUUCAGUAUCCGACUGAUCAGAUUCUACUGAAGGAAUAGAAGCUUCAAUGUUCUGUUGACAAACAAGUGGAGAGCUGGAGGCAGGAUUACCAGUACGGCCAGGUGUAGGACCGGGAAGCUGUCUGACAACUCUAUCUGUAGCCUCUGAAUCAUGUGUUCGCCGAGACAUGUCGUGAGCCAAGGGGUCAGUGUAAUCACUGUCAACNAUUUUUCACAGGCAGAUGCGGAAUUUCAUGCUGAUCAUCACGGUAUGUUCCGUUUUCCGAAACGAGUUCAGGAUUGGCCGGAAUCUGCGAUUUUCCGAGCGACUGGCCGGAAAUUGCGAUCGCCGGUGAGGGCGCGUCCGGAGUCGGAAUUGGAUGAUUUUUUAGUCGAAGGUUCGCCUUUUCAUGGGUAAUCUUAUGGUCAGGCGCGUGUCCCUGUUUGAGCUCUGUGGAAGGGUUAAUUGAAAAAUCAGUUUUUGGCCCCUCGGGAUCCGAUCUGUCAAUUUCGGGCGAUUCGGAUGAAAUCUCUACCACCCCCAGGGUUUUCGGCCCUUCUGGAAUCAUUGGUGAUGGUCCCAGACCCUGAUUCAAUGCGUAGGGGGGUGUUUCGACGACCUUGGGAUUCGUGCCAUGAUUUUUCAAACUCAGAUCUAUUGAGUUGGGGGAUGAAUCUGAUAUUGGUGUUAUAGGAGAUGUUUGGGUGGUUGUUGGUGAUGAUUUUCCACCACUUAGAGUGCUGCAAUCCGGUGGUUUUGGUGGUGGAUCAAGUUUGUUGGAGUUUUGGAGGUUUUCUCCCAUUCUAGAGAGAAGGGAGAGCGUUUUGG
rnacentral:lncRNA from 1 species